rnacentral:rRNA from 1 species
UAAUACGGAGGGUGCAAGCGUUAAUCGGAAUUACUGGGCGUAAAGCGUACGUAGGAUGUGAUGUAAGUUGGAUGUGAAAUCCCCGGGCUUAACCUGGGAACUGCAUUCAAAACUGCAUCGCUAGAGUGUAGUAGAGGUAAGCGGAAUUUCGGGUGUAGCGGUGAAAUGCGUAGAUAUCCGAAAGAACAUCAGUGGCGAAGGCGGCUUACUGGACUAACACUGACUCUGAGGUACGAAAGCGUGGGGAGCAAACAGGAUUAGAUACCCUGGUAGUCCACGCCGUAAACGAUGUCAACUAGACGUUGGGCUCCUUGAGGGCUUAGUGUCGCAGCUAACGCGUUAAGUUGACCGCCUGGGGAGUACGGCCGCAAGGUUG